rnacentral:lncRNA from 1 species
AUCUCUUCCUGGAGAUUGCUCCUUGUGGAGUUUUCUCUGUGAGCCUAUGACGUUGUUAAAACUGUAAGAACGGCCAGUGUUUUUCCUAAAGCUGGAAGCAUCAAUCAAGUAUUGACACAGAGUCAAAGAUGAAAUCCCAACCCAUUAACUUCAUUAGAAAAAUGGGAUCCUAUUCAUCAGUGAUGUCCCCAACCUUCAUUUCGGGAGAUAAAUUUUGUUAAUGUAUUUGAAACACGGUUUCGAUUUAUUACCCUGAGUAAUUCCGUUUCACUCAGUGAGUCUGAUCACAGUAACAAAACAACAGAUGUGGGAGACUACUUAUGUUUUUCUUUUCCGCAAUCAGAAUCGCUGUGAAGCUAUCCGGGUGUUUGAUCUUCAUCGCUGCCUUGCUGCUCCGUUUGGCCACCCAGCUCCUGAAGCAGUGCCAAGAACAUAGUGUUGAAAUGUGUUGGAGAUUGGAAAGGGAGAGGAGAGAGUCCUGUAUUGGUCAUCAAGAAAAAUCAACUGUAGGAUGCUCGAAGAGAUGCUUCAGUUUUGAUCAGCAUAAAAGAUAUUCUUUUUCCUUUAGCCUAAAAUACAGUGACCUAUGGAUACAAAGUUUGACUGAAUGAUGAACAGUAAAGUUCAUUCUUACUGAACUGGUAAUAGUUUACGUUAAGUACUUUUGAUUCAUCCGAACAAGAUAUUACUUUUCCAGUAAACUGAAUGAAUGAAG